rnacentral:ncRNA from 1 species
AAAAAAGGUGGAGUGAACCUUCACCUAGUCUUUAUAUAAAGGCAAAAUCUUCAAAUUGCGGGGAACUCUUAAAGACAAAUCUACCAAGUUAAUACAGUAAUGUAAUUAAUGGAACAGGUAAUGACUCGUUGUAAGGUAAAAACGAUUUGUAUAAAGAAAUGCAAUAGAUAAUCCGCAGCCAAGUACCGAAACACUUAUAAUUACCGGUAUGCAGUUCAUCGACUAAAUGGAGGUUGGUAAAUAAUUACGGCGCGAACGAAGUCCGCUCUAAUUAUUUGCUUAAGAUAUAGUCAGGCAUAACUUAAAGGUUAUG